GUCUCUGUGGCACAAUCGGUUAGCGCGUUUGGCUAUUAACUGAAAGGUUGGAGGUACAAGCCUACCCAGGGACG
rfam:Danio rerio unplaced genomic contig NA618, GRCz11 reference primary assembly.